UGAGGAAUAUUGGUCAAUGGACGCAAGUCUGAACCAGCCACGUCGCGUGAAGGAAGACGGCCCUACGGGUUGUAAACUUCUUUUGCAAGGGAAUAAAGUGGGGGACGUGUCCUCCUUUGCAUGUACCUUGCGAAUAAGGAUCGGCUAACUCCGUGCCAGCAGCCGCGGUAAUACGGAGGAUCCGAGCGUUAUCCGGAUUUCUUGGGUUGAAAGGGUGCGCAGGCGGGAUGUUAAGUCGGCGGUGAAAUUAUGCAGCUCAACUGUAAAAGUGCCUUCGAUACUGGCUUUCUUGAGUGUGGAUGAAGUAGGCGGAAUUUGUGGUGUAGCGGUGAAAUGCUUAGAUAUCACGAGGAACUCCGAUUGCGCAGGCAGCUUACCAAACCACUACUGACGCUCAUGCACGAAGGCGUGGGGAUCAAACAGG
rnacentral:rRNA from 2 species